AGAAUAACCACUUGUUUUCGCUCAAAUGCAGCUUAUAAUGCACCUCUGAAAACCCUUGUUGCAGAGUCAAUGUUCUGGGAAAUGGAAUCAGCCCUUACUGUAAGAGAAUGCCCCAUAGGCUCAAUUAACCUGCCAGCACAGCGCUCUCUUCUCCCUGUGUUAAUUAGAUGGCUUCGGUGCCUGCCAGCACAGUGCUGAGACGUCGCCGUGCACCAUGCAAGAACUGCCACCGGGGCCACGGGACACUCCCCACCCACAGCUGCCCACUGAUGUCAUCUCUAAAGCAGUAAUAGUGACCCACUUCCAAUUCCAGCAGAAUUCCGGAUGCGCCCCAUUUCAAGCGUCCUCAGGUGCAUGGUGUUGCGCUCUUGAAUCGGGCUCUUUCAGCGAUUUGUCACGGUUCUGUUGGGCCCUGCUGCGACGGCACGUGCCAGAUCACCGCGGCGGCUCUGCUCCCCGUGUGCCAGACGGCCUCUCGUCGUCCUGACAGCCCACCACUGCUGUCACCCGCCCUGCGCCCGGACACCGGCUCCCGGCCCUGGCAACACGAGCGUAACCACAACCCCUACCCAGAAUAGAUGCAGACACAGGGGCCAGACAGAAACCCCCAGAGGACACACACACGCUGUACCCUGCAGCUCCACAGACUGUUCAUUUGCCCGAGUCGGGAUGAGACAAGACAUGUGCAGGUUGUGCCCGUAGCGGUCUGGCCUGAUCAGCAGUCUGACAGUGACGGGAGGAGGCGGGCAGGUGGGGGAGCCAGAUUCAUUUGCAUAAUUAUGGACGUGCUUCCUGAAACACAGCCCCGCCCACCACCGACCUUUCAACAACCCGAAUACUGAAGAGCACAGAGAAACACAGCCGUGCCAGAUAAGAGCUGCCACGCACCAGACCGCACGCCUCCGUCCGCCCGCUCAACCAGUGUUUACUUCUGAGGAAAGACAGCAGGCGGAGAAAGGGACGACAAACAGACGAGUGCGACCUGCAGCAGGCAGCAUGCACCAGCUCCAUGGAUCAGACCUCAGAUGAUGGAUACUAGCUGAAAUGUGUCCAGUUAAAUCAUUAGGACACACACUACAGGCCAGUCAUUCUGAGAGGCAAGUAAAGUCAACAUCCAGCCUCUCAAUGAUGCUGAACUAAUGCUGAUUGAUCACACUGCUGAUGCCUGUGUGUGUGUGUGUGUGUGUGUGUAUGAUCGGUUUCAGCUGUAAAUCAUAUUGGCUUGUUAUUUGCUGUAUCUUCAGAUGCCAUUACCUUGUUUUGUUCUGGUUUGUAAAUGUUGGCCUCAGUGUGCAUGUGUGUGUGUGUGUGUGUGUGUGAAAAGGCUUUAUCUGUUGUUAUCUUCACCGGCCCGCUUUGCAGCUGCUCUCCACCUGUCACUCACACACACACAGGGAGUGGUGCACAUAGUCUGGGGCUGCGCGCAUGUGCAUACAUGCGCGUUAGUUAGUGAUUACGGGGUCACAGAGGGUUGCAUUCUGUAAUAAAAUACACUGAUGGAAUGUACGCAAAAAAUAAUUAAUACUCAAGACGAGUAUUGCAUGUGAAAUUUCAAGUAGUGAUGUGACUUACUUCAUCAAAAGCAUUUUAACAGCAUUUUCUAAUUUUUGUAUAAGUAUGUGUGUGUGUGUGCAGAUUUUGAGCUCAUGCUACUAUAGACCAUGUAUAUAUACAUACAUACAAACAUACAUACAUGCGCGC
ensembl:lncRNA